UACGGAGGGGGCUAGCGUUGUUCGGAAUUACUGGGCGUAAAGCGCGCGUAGGCGGACCUGCAAGUCGGGGGUGAAAGCCCGAGGCUCAACCUCGGAACUGCCUUCGAUACUGCGGGUCUCGAGUCCGGGAGAGGUGAGUGGAACUGCGAGUGUAGAGGUGAAAUUCGUAGAUAUUCGCAAGAACACCAGUGGCGAAGGCGGCUCACUGGCCCGGUUCUGACGCUGAGGUGCGAAAGCGUGGGGAGCAAACAGG
rnacentral:rRNA from 1 species